rnacentral:rRNA from 1 species
UAUCUUACACAAUGGGCGAAAGCCUGAUGGAGCAACGCCGCGUGAGUGAAGAAGGAAUUCGGUUCGUAAAACUCUGUUGUAUGGGAAGAACAAGUAAAGUAGUAACUGGCUGUAACUUGACGGUACAUUAUUAGAAAGCCAAGGAUAAGUACGUGCAAGCAGCCGCGGUAAUACGAAGGUUGCAAGCGUUGUCCGGAAUUAUUGGGCGUAAAGCGCGCGCAAGCGGUCCUUUAAUUCUUAUGUGAAAGCCAACGGCUCAACCGUGGAGGGUCAUUGGAAUCUGGGGGACUUGAGUGCAGAAUAGUAAAGUGGAAUUCCAAGUGUAGCGGUUAAAUGCGUAGAGAUUUGGAGGAACACCAGUGGCGAAGGCGACUUUCUGGUCUGUAACUGACGCUGAGGCGCGAAAGCGUGGGGAGCAAACAGG